rnacentral:rRNA from 1 species
GGAGGUGGAAGCCCUGCAAGGGGUGGAGCCGACCGGUACUAAUGGUCGAA